rnacentral:rRNA from 1 species
CCUACGGGUGGCAGCAGUAGGGAAUUUUCGUCAAUGGGGGAAACCCUGAUGGUGCGACGCCGCGUGGGGAAAUGAAGGUCUCCGGAUUGUACACCCCUGUCAUGUGGGAGCAAAUUAAAAAGAUAGUACCACAAGAGGAAGAGAAGGCUAACUCUGUCCCAGCAGCCGCGGUAAUACAUAGGUCUCAAGAGUUUUUCGGAAUCACUGGGCGUAAAGGGUGCGUAGGCGGUUUCGUAAGUCUGGUGUGAAAGGCGCGGGCUCAACCCGCGGACGGCACCUGAUAAUGGUAGACUAGAGUAAUGGAGGGGGAACCGGAAUUCUCGGUGUAGCAGUGAAAUGCGUAGAUAUCGAGAGGAACACUCGUGGCGAAGGCGGGUUCCUGGACAUUAACUGACGCUGAGGCACGAAGGCCAGGGGAGCGAAAGGGAUUAGAUACCCCUGUAGUC